CAGGACUCGCAAGACUCCUACAACCCUGUGAACUUAACUAUAAGCACGUUGCUUCGGCGGGUGUCUCGGCGAGGGGUCUCCCACUGGCCCUGCGGGGGCGCUAAGCCCGCCGGCAGCCUACUAUACUCUGUCUCUUUGCGUUGGCAUCUCGAGUACGAAUCAAACAAGUUA
rnacentral:misc_RNA from 1 species